GAUGAACGCUGGCGGCGUGCCUAAUACAUGCAAGUCGAGCGAACGGACGAGAAGCUUGCUUCUCUGCUGUUAGCGGCGGACGGGUGAGUAACACGUGGAUAACCUACCUAUAAGACUGGGAUAACUUCGGGAAACCGUAGCUAAUACCGGAUAAUAUUUUGAACCGCAUGGUUCAAAAGUGAAAGACGGUCUUGCUGUCACUUAUAGAUGGAUCCGCGCUGCAUUAGCUAGUUGGUAAGGUAACGGCUUACCAAGGCAACGAUGCAUAGCCGACCUGAGAGGGUGAUCGGCCACACUGGAACUGAGACACGGUCCAGACUCCUACGGGAGGCAGCAGUAGGGAAUCUUCCGCAAUGGGCGAAAGCCUGACGGAGCAACGCCGCGUGAGUGAUGAAGGUCUUCGGAUCGUAAAACUCUGUUAUUAGGGAAGAACAUAUGUGUAAGUAACUGUGCACAUCUUGACGGUACCUAAUCAGAAAGCCACGGCUAACUACGUG
rnacentral:rRNA from 1 species